UGAAAUCAGAAGAAUUUUAGAGGUGUCUGUAGUCUCAUGACGUCGUAGUCCCAUGACGUCACUGGACCAUUCUACAUGACAACACGUCGUCAGGUUGCUAAGUUAGCUUGUGAGCUAGCUGCACUUAGCGGACCAAAUGAUGUGGCUAGAGAAAAACACGGGUUUGCUACGUGUCAGCCAUAAAACAACCAUGGACUCAGAGAGAUGAAUCGACUAUGUCAGAUAUUGUAAAGACAGCUCCGGACUCAGACUACAGGAGAACGCUCCUGUCAUGGCAGCUGGUGUCAGCAUACUGAGUGACCUGCCUUACCCCAGGAGUGGAGCUUGCAGUGGAGACAUCAGCACAGAGAUGGAGACAGCCAGUACUAGGGUCCCUACAGCAAAGUACACCAAGAUGGGGGAGACCCUGAGACAUGUCAUCCCCGGUCACAUGCAGUGCUCCAUGGCCUGUGGAGGGAAAGCCUGUAAAUAUGAGAACCCCUCUCGCUGGAGUGAUGAGGAACAAGCUGUCAAAGGACUCUACUCGUCCUGGAUUACUGACAACUUGCUAGCUAUGGCAAGGCCUUCAACUGAAAUCAUAGAGAAAUAUAAUAUAAUUGAACAGUUUCAAAGCUGUGGUUUGAAGACGGUCAUUAACCUGCAGAGGCCCGGAGAACAUGCCAGCUGUGGCAACCCGCUGGAGCAGGAGAGCGGUUUCACUUAUCGACCUGAAAUCUUCAUGGAGGCAAACAUUUAUUACUACAACUUUGGGUGGAAGGAUUAUGGUGUGGCAUCUCUGACUACAAUCCUUGAUAUGGUGAAAGUCAUGUCAUUUGCUGUCCAAGAGGGGAAAAUGGCUGUCCACUGCCAUGCUGGUCUUGGAAGAACAGGUGUGUUGUUGGCUUGUUACUUGGUUUUCACGUCCCGCAUGAGUGCUGACCAAGCCAUUCUGUUUGUGCGAGCCAAGAGACCCAACUCCAUCCAGACCAGAGGCCAGCUGCUGUGUGUCAGGGAGUUCGCCCAGUUCCUGGUUCCUCUCCGAAGCGUCUUCUCCUGUGCAGAACCCAAAGCAAGUGCUGUCACCUUGUCCCAGUACCUUACCCGGCAGCGCCACCUGCUGCAUGGCUACGAGGCUCGACAGAUGAAGAAUGUGCCAAAGAUCGUCCAGCUGGUGUGCAGGCUCCUCGUCGACAUCGCAGCCAACCGACAGGUGGUGAUCGAGGAGGAGCGGCUGGAGAUCCCCGACCUCGCAGCCGAGGUGGAGAAGACCGUGUCCCAGCAGGCCCUUCAGCAGCUCGGGAAGGAGAUGAGAGGGAAGGGGAUUCCUGUUCCACCUUGUUCAUCUCAUCCUCUCAGCCCACCUGCUCUACAGUCCAGACCUCCUCAUGAUCAACCUCUCGCCAGUGACAAUGAGCUUGACCCUCUGUGGAGGCAGCAGAACGUAGAAAGCCCUCUGAAGUCCUCCCUGUCCACAAACAGGAGCCUCAGUUACAGCGAUUCUGUCCUUGACCAACUUGGACCACAGCAGCACAAUUUAGGAAAUCUGAAGAGCAACAAACCAAUCAGGUGCCUGAUCAAACAUUCCUUGUCUCACAGUAGCCUUCCAGCCUGUAUCCCUCCCAGAUUCUAUGACCUCUCUCUUCAGGACAUCAUUAGCAGCAUUCGGGGCCACAAUACAGAAACAAAGCAAGACACGGGAUCCCCCUUAUUUAAAAAGCCACUACAUCAGGGGCUUCAGAGUUUGUCUUUAGAUCUGUCCGAGCAGGGAAACAAAUCUCACUAUGAUGCCACACUGCCAGCCUUAUCAAACAAGAGCAAACUGCUUACCAGUGAGGAGCCGCCAGAUGUGGAAGUGUCAGCAGGUGGAGCAGACGGAGGGGUUCCCUUCAUCACCCUCCAGUCUGAGCUCUCCCCAGAGAGCAGAUGCCUGCUGGUGGCCAAAGCUCUGGCCAUGAACCUAUCAGACAAGGAUUACACCUCCAAGGUCUCAGUGUGGCAGUAUGCUCUAUGUUGUGAUGCAGACAGAGCUGAACUCCAGAGAGGGAGCGUGGGAGAGGCUGUGCAUGGAGAGAGAUCCUCUGGUCCUGUCAAGUCUGAUGUGGUCGUGGCUGGAGCAGCUCAAGGACCCAGUCAUCAGCAGAGAGGAAGUAAAAGCCCUCUGCGAGAAGAACGUAAACCCACAGAACGCCCUCGGCUCACUAAGAAAGGGCCACAGACUCACGUUGCUGUGUAUCCUUGACUGCGCUGCUCAUCUCCUGCCGAUGCCUGAAGAAGUGGAGAAUAGUUUUCUCAACCAAACAAUACAAGCGUUUACUCAGAUUGACCCUGCCUCAGAGAAGAACAAGUCUUUAUACACAACACUUAAAGCAAUCCUGACUCCCAUUCUUCAUGAGCUGUGUGACAAAGCUGUGGAGGAGAAUGAAGACUCCUGAUCCAGCUGCAACAGACGACAAGAGGAAGACUCACAAACAAGUUUCCACUCUCAUUUUGGGGCAUUAUUGUAUUGUCAGUCAGUUCCUUGCAUCAGAUACCACUGAGAUCUGCCAAUCUUUAGUCUUUAGGGUAUUUGAAGACUAUGUCAUUUAAAGGUAUAGCAUUUAAUUUUUCUUACGCUCUAAAUAGACUCUAAGCACUGCCAUUCUUUCGGUUAACGUGCCACUGUGCUCCGUUUUGAAAGUAUUUGUUUGUCAUCUGUUCUGUAAUAUUUGUGAGGGACUAGAUGUGCUUUUGUUGUCGAACUAGUUUCUAGGAAAAUGACUGAGAAACGUUCUCAUGAUGGUAAUGUAAUGUUAUUUAAAUGUGUAACUCGGCUGUCAACGCUGUUGGUCUUAUUUGUUAUUUAAACCCAAAUAUGUUUUUACACUGUGUAUAUGCUAAAAUGUGUCUUAUUUAUUCAGAUCUUAUUUGAAAUGCAGCAGUCAGUUCAAUAACUAUAAGCUGAUAAGUUGAACGGUUGCUUUGUUUGUGUAGAAUGUAAAGUGUUUUUUAGAGGAAAAUGCAAACUGUGGCUAUUAUGGCAAUGCAAAUUCAACAGGCCACGGUCCAUUUGCUUUUCCAAUCAAUUUGUUGUCCUUAAUACUGCGUGCACCAAACACCUCUUACUGUUCUGUUGUACAUGCAUUUGUCAAACAUCAAUAUCUGCCUCCACUGUUACAGUUGGCGAAAUGCUCUCUGCCUCAACUCAAAUGGCCUCUGCCUUGACUCCGUGUCAUGCUGCUGGUGUAACAUCGCCGUGUGUGUGUGUAUGUAUGUAUGUAUGUGUCUGUGCGUGUGUGUGCGUGCGUGGGUCUACACGAAUCAGUGGCCGCCUCUCGCCUCAAAAUGUCUCAUAUAUGGAAUGUAAUCUAGAUCUGCUGACACAUACUAGAUGUGGAACACUUAUGAUAGUAAUAAUAAUAUGAAGGACACAAGUGGGGACUUUUCAACAAUAACUAUUUUUUCAUUGUUAAACAGGCUACUUCUUACAGAAUUAAACACAAGGUACUGCAA